rnacentral:rRNA from 1 species
CAAAUUGUUCGCCAAACAACUACGAGUCCCACUUAAAACUUAAAAGACUUGACGGUACUUCAUCACGGCCUAGAGGAGCCUGUCUAAUAACCGACAAUCCACGAUUAACCCCACCCCUUCUCGCCCUACAGUCUAUAUACCGCCGUCGCCAGCUUACCUUGUAAAAGAGAAAAAGUGAGCUAAACAGUACUACGCUAGAACGACAGGUCGAGGUGUAACCUAUGAAAGGGACUACGAUGGGCUACAUUCUUCAACCGAGAACACGAAUAGCAUUAUGAAAUUAGUGCUUGAAGACGGAUUUAGCAGUAAGAUAAGAAUAAAACACUUAACUGAACAUAACGCAAUGAAGUGCGUACACACCGCCCGUCACCCCUGUCACCACAACACCAGACUUUAAUAAAUCAACUAAAAAAAUCGAGCAGGGCAAGUCGUAACAAGGUAAGUGUACA